rnacentral:rRNA from 1 species
AUGUUACGGACCUUUUCUGAUUGUAUGGGACAGAAGCAUCCUAUAUCUGUGAUCACGGAUGGGGACCUUGCAAUGCAGAGAGCAAUCAGGGUGGUGUGGCCUGACUCAAACCAUAGGCUCUGUAUAUGGCUCAUUCAGCAGAACAUUGUACGCCAUCCGCAUGAUGACGCGGUAAAGGAGGAAUUCCGAUCUUUCAUAUAUGAUACAUCUUCCAUUAAAGAGCAUGAGAGAAAAUGGUUACACUUCUUACAACGGAAUAAAGUAACAAGUGAGGACUCCUGGCUGCAUCAGAUGUAUAAGAUGAGAAAACCGUGGUGUGCUCCAUAUCUUGAGGGCCGUUGUUUUCUAGGAUUGAGCAUCAAUCAGCGGAGCGAGAGUUUACACUCGGUGCUACAUACGCAUCUUGAGGCUAAGAUGACGUUGUUUCAAAUGCUAGAGCACUAUGAGUGUUGCUUUGCGUCGUGA